rnacentral:sRNA from 1 species
CCCUUUCUAAACCCUGCUUGGCCAUCGAGAGUGUGGGAUCCAAAGUUCAAUUGCAAGGGUUGGGACUCAGCUCUGCCUCCCAUGAGCUGUGAGGCCUCAGCAAUUACUGACUUCUUUGUGCCUUUCCUGCUGUUCUGGUUGUUGUUGUUGAUGAUGACUCUGGGUGCGUGUUCACACGAGGAAGGUGGAGCUUACACAGUGCUUCCCAGCUGGCUCUUUCUAUGUCUGCUCCUCCAAUGACCUGGCAUCCACUUUUUCUCAGAUGUCUCCAAAGAGCAGCGGCUGCAGGCCGUGCAGGCUGCCAUCCUGCUACUGGCCGAUGAGAACAGGGAGGUCCUGCAGACGCUCUUGUGUUUCCUGAACGACGUCGUCAACUUGGUGGAAGAGAAUCAGAUGACGCCCAUGAACCUGGCAGUGUGUCUGGCCCCCUCCCUCUUUCAUCUUAAUUUAUUGAAGAAAGAAAGCUCUCCACGAGUCAUACAGAAGAAAUAUGCCACCGGGAAGCCAGAUCAAAAGGACCUCAACGAGAAUCUGGCAGCAGCUCAGGGGCUAGCGCACAUGAUCAUGGAAUGCGACAGACUU